rnacentral:rRNA from 1 species
UGGGGAAUUUUGGACAAUGGGCGCAAGCCUGAUCCAGCCAUGCCGCGUGCAGGAUGAAGGCCUUCGGGUUGUAAACUGCUUUUGUACGGAACGAAAAGGUGCCUUCUAAUAAAGGGCGCUCAUGACGGUACCGUAAGAAUAAGCACCGGCUAACUACGUGCCAGCAGCCGCGGUAAUACGUAGGGUGCAAGCGUUAAUCGGAAUUACUGGGCGUAAAGCGUGCGCAGGCGGUUUUGUAAGACAGAGGUGAAAUCCCCAGGCUCAACCUGGGAACUGCCUUUGUGACUGCAAGGCUGGAGUGCGGCAGAGGGGGAUGGAAUUCCGCGUGUAGCAGUGAAAUGCGUAGAUAUGCGGAGGAACACCGAUGGCGAAGGCAAUCCCCUGGACCUGUACUGACGCUCAUGCACGAAAGCGUGGGGAGCAAACA